rnacentral:rRNA from 1 species
AUUGAACGCUGGCGGCAGGCCUAACACAUGCAAGUCGAGCGAGCGGCGGACGGGUGAGUAAUGUAUGGGGACUGCCCGAUAGAGGGGGAUAACUACUGGAAACGGUAGCUAAUACCGCAUACUAUCGGAUAACCCAUAUGGGAUUAGCUAGUUGGUGAGGUAAUGGCUCACCAAGGCGACGAUCCCUAGCUGGUCUGAGAGGAUGAUCAGCCACACUGGGACUGAGACACGGCCCAGACACCGACGGAGGCAGCAGUAGGGAAUAUUGCCCAAUGGGCGCAAGCCUGAUGCAGCCAUGCCGCGUGAGUGAAGAAGGCCUUCGGUUUGUAAAGUACUUUCAGUCGGGAGGCGUUACCGACAGAAGAAGCACCGGCUAACUCCGUGCCAGCAGCCGCGGUAAUUC